CAGUAGCCGCGGAAUACGGAGGGUGCAAGCGUUAAUCGGAAUUACUGGGCGUAAAGCGCACGCAGGCGGUUUGUUAAGUCAGAUGUGAAAUCCCCGGGCUCAACCUGGGAACUGCAUUUGAAACUGGCAAGCUAGAGUCUCGUAGAGGGGGGUAGAAUUCCAGGUGUAGCGGUGAAAUGCGUAGAGAUCUGGAGGAAUACCGGUGGCGAAGGCGGCCCCCUGGACGAAGACUGACGCUCAGGUGCGAAAGCGUGGGGAGCAAACAGGAUUAGAUACCCGGUAGUCCCUGUCUCUUAUACAC
rnacentral:rRNA from 1 species